rnacentral:rRNA from 1 species
CCUACGGGAGGCAGCAGUGGGGAAUAUUGCUCAAUGGACGAAACUCUGAUCCAGCGACGUCGCGUGAGUGAUGAAGUCCCUCGGUAUGGUAAGCUCUAUUUGCAGGGAAGUAAGUGACGGUACCUGAAAAAGAAGCUCAGUCUAAAUAAGUACCAGCAGCCGCGGUUAUACGUAUGGAGCAAGCGUUAUCCGGAUUUACUGGGUGUAAAGGGAGAGUAGGUGGUAGAGCAAGUCCGAAGUGAAAACCCAAAGCUCAACUAUGGGAAUGCAUGAGAAACUGCGCAGCUUGAGUGCAGGAGAGGCAAGUGGAAUGCGUGGUGUAGCGGGGAAAUGCGUAGAUAUUAGGAAGAACACCGAUUGCGAAGGCAGCGUGCUGGACUGUAACUGACACUGAGGCUCGAAAGCGUGGGGAUCAAACAGGAUUAGAUACCCUGGUAGUC